CAAUAGCGUAUAUUAAAGUUGUUGCAGUUAAAAAGCUCGUAGUUGGAUUUGUGGCGUACGGUGUGUUCCGGGCACUUGUUGUCUGAGUAACCUGCUGUUGCCAUCCUUGGGUGGAACCUGUGUGGCAUUAGGUUGUCGUGCAGGGGAUGCCCAUCAUUUACUGUGAAAAAAUUAGAGUGUUCAAAGCAGGCUUAUGCCGUUGAAUAUAUUAGCAUGGAAUAAUGAGAUAGGACUUUUUUGCUAUUUUGUUGGUUUGCGCAAGAAGGUAAUGAUUAAUAGGGACAGUUGGGGGUAUUCGUAUUCCAUUGUCAGAGGUGAAAUUCUUGGAUUUUUGGAAGACGAACUACUGCGAAAGCAUUUACCAAGAAUGUUUUCAUUAA
rnacentral:rRNA from 1 species